rnacentral:rRNA from 1 species
CCUACGGGUGGCAGCAGUGAGGAAUCUUGGUCAAUGGCCGGAAGGCUGAACCAGCCACGCCGCGUGAAGGACGAAGGUGCCCAGCAUUGUAAACUUCUUUUGUCAAGGGACAAAAUCAGGCUCGAGAGCCUGACCGAGGGUACUUGAAGCAAAAGCAUCGGCUAACUCCGUGCCAGCCGCCGAGGUAAUACGGGGGAUGCGAGCGUUAUCCGGUUUUAUUGGGUUUAAAGGGUGCGUAGUCGGACUGUUACGUCAGCGUUAAAAGCCCGGGGCUCAACCCCGGCGAGCCGUUGAACCUGGCUGUCUUGAGAGGUGGAGAGGUAUGCGGAAUGCGAAGUGUAGCGGGGAAAUGCGUAGAUAUUGCGCAGAACUCCGAUGGCGAAGGCAGCAUACCGGCGGCGAUCUGACGCUGAGGCACGAAAGCGUGGGUAUCGAACAGGAUUAGAUACCCGAGUAGUC